ACCGAGAUGGCCGAGUGGUUAAGGCGUUGGACUUAAGAUCCAAUGGGCUGGUGCCCGCGUGGGUUCGAACCCCACUCUCGGUA
rnacentral:tRNA from 2 species